UAAGCGGAGGAAAAGAAACCAACAGGGAUUGCCUCAGUAGCGGCGAGUGAAGCGGCAAAAGCUCAGAUUUGAAAUCGUGUUUCGGCACGAGUUGUAGAUUGCAGGUUGGAGUCUUUGUGGAAGCGUGUGUCUAAGUCCCUUGGAACAGGGUGCCAUUGAGGGUGAGAGCCCCGUGAGACGCGUGCGGAAGCUGUAAGGCCCUUCUGACGAGUCGAGUUGUUUGGGAAUGCAGCUCUAAGUGGGUGGUAAAUUCCAUCUAAGGCUAAAUAUUGGCGAGAGACCGAUAGCGAACAAGUACUGUGAAGGAAAGAUGAAAAGCACUUUGAAAAGAGAGUGAAACAGCACGUGAAAUUGUUGAAAGGGAAGGGUAUUGGGCUCGACAUGGGAUUUGCGCACCGCUGCUCCUUGUGGGCGGCGCUCUGUGCUUUUCCUGGGCCAGCAUCGGUUUUUGCCGCAGGAGAAGGCGUGCUGGAAUGUGGCUCUUCGGAGUGUUAUAGCCAGUGCGAGAUGCUGCGUGCGGGGACCGAGGACUGCGACAUCUGUCUCGGAUGCUGGCACAACGGCGCAAUACCGCCCGUCUUGAACCAACGGACCAA
rnacentral:rRNA from 1 species